CCCUUAGAUGUUCUGGGCCGCACGCGCGCUACACUGAUGCAUUCAACGAGUCUAAAACCUGGUCUGAUAGGGCUGGGUAAUCUUUUGAAAGUGCAUCGUGAUUGGGAUAGAUGAUUGCAAUUCUUCAUCUUCAACGAGGAAUGCCUAGUAAACGCAAGUCAUCAGCUUGCAUUGAUUACGUCCCUGCCCUUUGUAUACACCGCCCGUCGCUCCUACCGAUUGAAUGAUCCGAUGAAUACCAUGGAUUGAGAGUACGAAUGGGUUCGCUCAUUUCUGCUGCUCGAGAAGUGGAGUAAAUCUUAUCAUUUAGAGGAAGGAGAAGUCGUAACA
rnacentral:rRNA from 1 species